GACGAACGCUGGCGGCGUGCUUAACACAUGCAAGUCGAACGGCAAGGCCCUGCUUUUGUGGGGUGCUCGAGUGGCGAACGGGUGAGUAACACGUGAGUAACCUGCCCUUGACUUUGGGAUAACUUCAGGAAACUGGGGCUAAUACCGGAUAGGAGCUCCUGCUGCAUGGUGGGGGUUGGAAAGUUUCGGCGGUCGGGGAUGGACUCGCGGCUUAUCAGCUUGUUGGUGGGGGAGUGGCUUACCAAGGCUUUGACGGGUAGCCGGCCUGAGAGGGUGACCGGCCACAUUGGGACUGAGAGACGGCCCAGACUCCUAUGGUAGGCAGCAGUGGGGAAUAUUGCACAAUGGGCGGAAGCCUGAUGCAGCAACGCCGCGGGCGGGAUGACGGCCUUCGGGUUGUAAACCGCUUUCGCCUGUGACGAAGCGUGAGUGACGGUAAUGGGUAAAGAAGCACCGGCUAACUACGUG
rnacentral:rRNA from 1 species